AUUGAACGCUGGCGGCAUGCCUUACACAUGCAAGUCGAACGGCAGCACGGGAGCUUGCUCCUGGUGGCGAGUGGCGAACGGGUGAGUAAUGCAUCGGAACGUGCCCUGAAGUGGGGGAUAACGUAGCGAAAGUUACGCUAAUACCGCAUAUUCUGUGAGCAGGAAAGCAGGGGAUCUUCGGACCUUGCGCUUUUUGGAGCGGCCGAUGUCGGAUUAGCUAGUUGGUGGGGUAAAGGCCCACCAAGGCGACGAUCCGUUGCGGGUCUGAGAGGAUGAUCCGCCACACUGGAACUGAGACACGGUCCAGACUCCUACGGGAGGCAGCAGUGGGGAAUUUUGGACAAUGGGCGCAAGCCUGAUCCAGCCAUGCCGCGUGAGUGAAGAAGGCC
rnacentral:rRNA from 1 species